UACGUAGGGUGCGAGCGUUAAUCGGAAUUACUGGGCGUAAAGUGUGCGCAGGCGGCCGAGCAAGUCGAGUGUGAAAUCCCCGGGCUUAACUUGGGAAUUGCGCUCGAAACUACUUGGCUUGAGGCCGGGAGAGGCGAGUGGAAUUCCCAGUGUAGCGGUGAAAUGCGUAGAUAUUGGGAGGAACACCAGUGGCGAAGGCGGCUCGCUGGACCGGUUCUGACGCUGAGGCGCGAAAGCGUGGGGAGCAAACGGG
rnacentral:rRNA from 1 species